CCUACGGGGGGCAGCAGUGGGGAAUAUUGCACAAUGGGCGCAAGCCUGAUGCAGCCAUGCCGCGUGUGUGAAGAAGGCCUUCGGGUUGUAAAGCACUUUCAGCGGGGAGGAAGGCGUUAAGGUUAAUAACCUUGUCGAUUGACGUUACCCGCAGAAGAAGCACCGGCUAACUCCGUGCCAGCAGCCGCGGUAAUACGGAGGGUGCAAGCGUUAAUCGGAAUUACUGAGCGUAAAGCGCACGCAGGCGGUCUGUCAAGUCGGAUGUGAAAUCCCCGGGCUCAACCUGGGAACUGCAUUCGAAACUGGCAGGCUAGAGUCUUGUAGAGGGGGGUAGAAUUCCAGGUGUAGCGGUGAAAUGCGUAGAGAUCUGGAGGAAUACCGGUGGCGAAGGCAGCCCCCUGGACAAAGACUGACGCUCAGGUGCGAAAGCGUGGGGAGCAAACAGGAUUAGAUACCCUUGUAGUC
rnacentral:rRNA from 1 species